rnacentral:rRNA from 1 species
AUUGAACGCUAGCGGGAUGCUGUACACAUGCACGUCGAACGAGUGGCGGACGGGUGAGUAAUAUCUCGGAACGUGCCCAGUAGCGGGGGAUAACUACUCGAAAGAGGGGCUAAUACCGCAUACGAUUGGAGCGGACGAUAUCGGAUUAGCUAGUUGGUGGGGUAAAGGCUCAACAAUGCAACGAUCCGUAGCUGGUUUGAGAGGACGACCAGCCACACUGGGACUGAGACACGGCCCAGACUCCUACGGGAGGCAGCAGUGGGGAAUUUUGGACAAUGGGCGCAACCCUGAUCCAGCCAUCCCGCGUGUAUGAGAAGGCCUUCGGGUUGUAAAGUACUUUGGGCAGAGAAGCGGUAUCUGCAGAAUAAGCACCGGCUAACUACGUGCCAGCAGCCGCGGUAAUAC